GACGAACCGUGCGAACGUUGUUCGGAAUCACUGGGCUUAAAGGGCGCGUAGGCGGACUGCCAAGUCCGGGGUGAAAUCCUCCGGCUUAACCGGAGAAUUGCCUGGGAUACUGGCGGUCUUGAGGGAGGUAGGGGCACGCGGAACUUCCGGUGGAGCGGUGGAAUGCGCAGAUAUCAGGAGGAACACCGGUGGCGAAGGCGGGUCUCUGGGCCGUUACUGACGCUGAGGAGCGAAAGCGUAGGGAGCGAACAGG
rnacentral:rRNA from 1 species